rnacentral:rRNA from 1 species
CCAUACUCCUACGGGAGGCAGCAGCGGGGAAUAUUGCGCAAUGGACGGAAGUCAGACGCAGCGACGCCGCGUGGGUGAGGAAGGCCUUCGGGUUGUAAAGCCCUUUUCAGGGGAGCGAGAAAGGACGGUACCCUUGGAAUAAGCGUCGGCUAACUACGUGCCAGCAGCCGCGGUAAGACGUAGGACGCAAGCGUUAUCCGGAUUUACUGGGCGUAAAGCGCCUGUAGGCGGUCAAGUAAGUCGGAUGUGAAAGCCCCGUGCUCAACGCGGGGAAGCCAUUCGAUACUGCGUGACUAGAGAACGGCAGAGGGAAACGGAAUUUCUGGUGUAGCGGUAAAAUGCGCAGAGAUCAGAAAGAACACCGAUGGCGAAGGCAGUUUCCUAGGCCGCAUCUGACGCUGAGAGGCGAAAGCUAGGGGAGCAAACAGGAUUAGAGACCCUGGUAGUCCUAGCUGUAAACGAUGGAUGCUAGGUGUGGGCCGGAAAGGUCCGUGCCGUAGUUAACGCGAUAAGCAUCCCGCCUGGGGAGUACGGCCGCAAGGCUAAAACUCAAACGAAUUGACGGGGACCCGCACAAGCAGCGGAGCGUGUGGUUUAAUUCGAUGCUACACGCAGAACCUUACCUGGGCUUGACAUGUAGGUGGUAGUGAAGUGAAAGCGGAGCGACCCUUCGGGGAGCCUACACAGGUGCUGCAUGGCUGUCGUCAGCUCGUGCCGUGAGGUGUCGGGUUAAGUCCCGUAACGAGCGCAACCCUUGUCCUUAGUUACAAGUGUCUAAGGAGACUGCCGGUGACAAACCGGAGGAAGGUGGGGAUGACGUCAAGUCAGCAUGGCCCUUAUGUCCAGGGCGACACACACGCUACAAUGGUCGGUACAAUGGGCAGCGCAGCCGCGAGGUGAAGCGAAUCCCAACAAAGCCGAUCCCAGUUCGGAUUGCAGGCUGCAACCCGCAUGCAUGAAGCCGGAGUUGCUAGUAACCGCGCGUCAGCCAUAGUGCGGUGAAUACGUUCCCGGGUCUUGUACACACCGCCCGUCACGUCAUGGGAGUUGGUAAC